UACGUAGGGUGCUAGCGUUGUCCGGAAUCAUUGGGCGUAAAGCGCGCGUAGGCGGCCUGGUAAGUCCGCUGUGAAAGUCAAAGGCUCAACCUUUGAAUGUCAGCGGAUACUGCCAGGCUAGAGUCCGGAAGAGGCGAGUGGAAUUCCUGGUGUAGCGGUGGAAUGCGCAGAUAUCAGGAGGAACACCAACGGCGAAGGCAGCUCGCUGGGACGGUACUGACGCUGGGGCGCGAAAGCGUGGGGAGCGAACAGG
rnacentral:rRNA from 1 species